rnacentral:rRNA from 1 species
UACGGAGGGUGCAAGCGUUAAUCGGAAUUACUGGGCGUAAAGCGUGCGCAGGCGGUUUGUUAAGUCCGCUGUGAAAUCCCCGAGCUCAACUUGGGAAUUGCAGUGGAUACUGGCAGGCUGGAGUACGGUAGAGGAAGGUGGAAUUCCCGGUGCAGCAGUGAAAUGCGUAGAUAUGCGGAGGAACACCGAUGGCGAAGGCAAUCCCCUGGACCUGUACUGACGCUCAUGCACGAAAGCGUGGGGAGCAAACAGG